AACCCCUAUCUUUAAUUGCCAUCAUUCAGUUGGGCACUUUUAGAGAGACUGCCGGUGUUAAGCCGGAGGAAGGUGGGGAUGACGUCAAGUCCUCAUGGCCUUUAUGUCUAGGGCUACACACGUGCUACAAUGGGUGGUACAAAGAGCAGCUAAACUCGCGAGAGUAUGCAAAUCUCAAAAAGCCAUCCUCAGUUCGGAUUGGAGUCUGCAACUCGACUCCAUGAAGUUGGAAUCGCUAGUAAUCGCGGAUCAGCAUGCCGCGGUGAAUACGUUCCCGGGCCUU
rnacentral:rRNA from 1 species